UACGUAGGGUGCGAGCGUUAAUCGGAAUUACUGGGCGUAAAGCGUGCGCAGGCGGUCUGUUAAGACAGAUGUGAAAUCCCCGGGCUUAACCUGGGAACUGCAUUUGUGACUGGCAGGCUAGAGUAUGGCAGAGGGGGGUAGAAUUCCACGUGUAGCAGUGAAAUGCGUAGAGAUGUGGAGGAAUACCGAUGGCGAAGGCAGCCCCCUGGGCCAAUACUGACGCUCAUGCACGAAAGCGUGGGGAGCAAACAGG
rnacentral:rRNA from 2 species